rnacentral:rRNA from 1 species
CAAUAGCGUAUAUUAAAGCUGUUGCGGUUAAAAAGCUCGUAGUUGGAUUUCUGUCAAGGACAACUGGUCCGCCCUCCGGGUGAGCACAUAGUUUGGUCUUGGCAUCUUGUUCAAAACUGUUACUGCGCUUGGUUGUGUGGUGCAGUUUUGGGCACUUUCACUUUGAGGAAAUUGGAGUGUUUCAAGCAGGCACAUGCCUUUGGACACAGUAGCAUGGAAUAAUUAGAUUGGGCUUUUGCUCCAACUUGUCGGUUCCUGGAGCUGAGGUGAGAAUCAAUGGGGAUUGUUGGGGGCAUCUGAAUUUAGCCGUCAGAGGUGAAAUUCUUGGAUCUGCUAAAGACGGACAACUGCGAAAGCGUUUGCCAGGAUGUUUUCAUUGA